CCUAUCUGCCGUGGGUGUAGGAAAACUGAGAAGGUCUGACCUUAGUACGAGAGGAUUUGGUUGGACGGACCUCUGGUGUGCCGGUUAUCGCGCUAGCGGUAGUGCCGGGUAGCUAUGUCCGGAAAGGAUAAACGCUGAAAGCAUCUAAGCGUGAAGCCCUCUUCAAAACUAGUUUUCCCCAUCAGGCUCGUCGAAGACUACGACGUUGAUAGGCCAGGCGUGUAAGCACAGCAAUGUGUUCAGCGGACUGGUACUAAUCAGCCGAUCGGCUUGACCAC
rnacentral:rRNA from 1 species